rnacentral:lncRNA from 1 species
AGACUCAGCUCCUGGUGAAGCUCCCAGCCAUCAGCCAUGAGGGUCUUGUAUCUCCUCUUCUCGUUCCUCUUCAUAUUUCUGAUGCCUCUUCCAGGUGUUUUUGGUGGUAUAGGCGAUCCUGUUACCUGCCUUAAGAGUGGAGCCAUAUGUCAUCCAGUCUUUUGCCCUAGAAGGUAUAAACAAAUUGGCACCUGUGGUCUCCCUGGAACAAAAUGCUGCAAAAAGCCAUGAGGAGGCCAAGAAGCUGCUGUGGCUGAUGCGGAUUCAGAAAGGGCUCCCUCAUCAGAGACGUGCGACAUGUAAACCAAAUUAAACUAUGGUGUCCAAAGAUA